UACGAAGGGUGCAAGCGUUAAUCGGAAUUACUGGGCGUAAAGCGUGCGUAGGUGGUUUGUUAAGUCUGCUGUGAAAGCCCCGGGCUUAACCUGGGAAUGGCAUUUGGGACUGCAAGGCUGGAGUGCGGCAGAGGAGACUGGAAUUCCCGGUGUAGCAGUGAAAUGCGUAGAUAUCGGGAGGAAUAUCGAUGGCGAAGGCAGGUCUCUGGGCUGACACUGACGCUCAUGCACGAAAGCGUGGGGAGCAAACAGG
rnacentral:rRNA from 1 species